UUUUCGGUCAACCAGGUGAAGUGGUGUGCACAAUUUUACCUCGGUCCGAGAAAAUUUUCAUUUUUUUGACGUAAUUCUAGUCUUCAACUGAAUUUUUCGGUCUGGAUUUGGACAUGUCAAAAAUAAUUGUAGAGGCAAGCCUCGGUGCGGUUUUUGUACAGAAGAUCAUCUUAUGUUUGUUUGUGAAAAAAGAGAACAAGCAAUGAAAAAAAUGAAAUGCCCUGCAGAUCAUCUUAACAAUCUGACUAAAACGUGUAAAAUUCCAAAUUGUGAAGUAAAUCCAAAACCAAGCUGCGUAAAUUGCAAGGGACACCACACUGCUACUGACUGGGGAUGUCCCGAAUACAAAAGGCAAAAACAAAUUAACGAAACCAUGAGCUUCUACAACCUUUCUUUUUAUGAAGCAGCUAAACUGCAUCCACGGCUAACUAAUGCAAACCAAGGCUUUACCCGAAAACCAGAAGAUUUUCCUAGUUUAAAUAAAAAAACUCAGAAUAAAACUCCUCAUCCAACAAGUUCUCAGGGCUGUUCCUCAUAUACAUCAGUACUUAAAAGAAAACGGCCUGACACCCAAUUUAUCAAAGGGUAUGAUAAAGUAGCCCAUGAACUAACUUUGUUACCCUCAAGUGCAAGAAGAAAAGUCUCAUCUAUACAAGUAGGUGAAAACUUGACAUCAGAGUCGGAAAUGGAAGUAACUCCUGUAGGAAAUGGCUGGGAAGAAGUAUGCAACUAGUUUGAAGCUUUCAAAAAAGACGUUAUGUCAAUAAAGGGUAUGGAUGAAAAUUGUGUCAACAAUAUCAAACAAUAUUUUGGUUCAUUUGACCUACGGUGGGGGGGCGGCUGCGAUGGCAGCGGUUGACCUACAGGGGUUAGAAAAAGAAAAGGUAAUCUUAUCACUAGUUUUAAUCUAACAGUAGUUUUUACGUAACAAAACUAAGUUUAAGUUUUAGUCACAAGCGUUUUAUAGUUGAGCUAUAAUGAAUAUCGUUCAUUGGAACAUUUGCGGGGCUGAAAAAAAUAAAGAUGCUAUCAUUAGAGUUAUAAGGGAUUUUAAGCUACAGAUAUUAUUGCUCAAUGAAACCUUGCUCAAACCCAACACUAACUUUAAAAUAUCAGGGUUCUCUUCUGUAAGAGCUGAUAAACCUAAUGGUGCAGAUGGUAUAGCAAUUUUCUUGAAAAACAAAAUAAAAUAUAAUAUCAUCGACUUAAGCAGAAUUAAUAUACCAGAGAGGUGUCAGGUUAUUCUUGCAGAGCUUGUCGAUUUUUUUAUUUGUUGUGUUUACAACCCUCCAGAUAUUUGUUUGGUCAGGGCACGCCUCGAUUCAAUUUUCGAUCUAACCCGUAAUAAACCAGUCCUCUUUAUGGGAGACUUUAAUGCCCAUAAUCCAAUAUGGGGUUCCCAGGUCAGUUACUCACGGGGAAUUAAAAGUGGGAACAUUUUUUAUGAUUUCAUUAAGGAUCAAGAUUUGUGGGUACUAAAUGAUGGAUCAGCUACUCGGCUCACACGCCCAGGCGUACACAGCGCUCCAGAUGUAGCUUUUUGCUCCCAGAGACAGUCUGGAGUUGCUGACUGCAGGGUUCUCCAGGAUAGAGUGAAUAGCGAUCAUUUUCCUAUUUUGUGUAUCGGAAAUAAACGUUGCAACUCAGGUUCGACAAGAAACUACACUAGUAAAUAUAAUUUCAACAAGGCAGACUGGGAGAAAUUUUCCGAUUUAAUCUCCACGAAAUUUAGAACUUCACCUCCUAUAAAUUAUGAGGAUUUUAUGAAUAUAAUUUUCCUAUCUAUUGCAGAAUCUGUUCCAAUGCAUAAACACUCAUUAAACUACGGGUUACCUUGGUGGGAUAAUGAGUGCGCCAACGCUAUUAAAAGGAAAAGACAAGCAUUCAGAGAUUAUAAAAACAACCCCUCUGAGACCAACUUUCUGGAAUCAUUAAGGACCCGGGCACAAACAAUACAGCUGCUACGUAAGAAGAAAAAGGAAGGCUUUGUCAACUUUUGUGAGAAUCUAUCUCCAAAUACUAGUGCAAAAGAAGUUUGGAGCAGUAUUAGAAGGUUUGCUAAAGCCGUCCAGUAGGAUGAUGGUAUCACCCAGACCCUCUUUACGGAGGCAUCCUUCAUGGAAAUAGUUUAUUGCACACCACUACCGAGAAGCUGGCCGAAUUGCCUUAGCAGCAGUGGCCAAAUAACACGAUGCAAUUCAGUGAGAAUUUCCCCAUCGAUUUAAUAAACAACCACUGCGUCAUAAACAAAUUUACGAGUGGCAUUAAAAAUUCGUAGAAGAUGGCGGUAUCUGCAAAGGAAAAAGGACGGGACGUAUUCGCACAUUCUUCAAAUAACGGCAUUGCAUCUUGACGACCACAACAAAAGGUGCAUCACCCCAUCCUUCCGAAGACAAUGAGUCCGAAAGCAACGCCACACUUGCCUCGGUUAUCCCUUCUUACAUUCAAAAUAUCACUGACCACAUAUCAAAAGUUCUUAAGAAAUAUAACGCCAAAACCAGAUUUAUCACUUGUCCAAAAAUCUCUCAAGAUCUUCGAUCCGUCAAAGACACGAUUCCGAACUAGGCUCAAGGAACGUGAAAGAGCCUUAAGAGUACCACAAAUAAACGCAUCAACAGUUGCCGAACACGUUCACCAAACCGGACAUCCACUUUUAUUGGAUAAAACUAAAAUUCUUGCAUGUAGUCAAUUGUUCUACCAACGAAAAAUCCAAAAAUCUGUAUAAGGAACCAAAUAAUCUUAACUGCAUUUCAGGUCUUUACAACAGGCGAAAAGUCACUCGACUAUUCUGGCGGUGAGGGGUCUAGCAUUAUCCUGCAUAGAAAUGCCGUCUUUGCCCAUAGUGAGUGUUAAAGUGAUGAUCCUUCAGGAUUUCCGUAAUGCCAGAUCAACUCUGUGGGUGCGUCCGAACUGAUUCCCGUCCAAACCAUAAUCGAACUAGCACCAUGUGGACGUGUUUCAUCAAUACAACCUGGAGCAUAUCUUUCUCCGAGUCUCCUACAUACUCCGUCUGAGUCAAUCCAAUCUAAGUGAUUUCGAUCCCGUCGGUGCAAUAGCAGCCCUAAAACAAUCCAUUGGGACAAAGCCUUCUUCUAACCGUCCAUUCGCUAAUAAAUAACAUUUCGAAGCCAAACAGCAAAAGCUGUCCUAUUCCGUAAACUUGCGAACACUAAACAUCAAUCAUCCUCUUGUUGAUCAAGUCAGUCUCCUCGUAGCGUUCGUUGGUAUACAUUUUGUACAGCACAUAGACUCCUACCAACAAUUCUUGCAGUUUCCCUUUUUCCUUGACCAUUAAUGCUACAAUUCUAGUCACAACAAUAGGAUCUAAAGGCAUUAUGACCAGUAUAUUUCCAGAUCCGGACUACAUCGACAACACCAUCGUUACGAUGCCGAAAUAAUUUGUUAAAGGUCAACGGGAUUGGACUAUCCUAACCAAACUACCGAACAAAAAUCCGGAACUGUUAUUAUGCAACAACCCGAAUAAGCGCGCUCUAAACAAAAAAAAACACUGCCCAUAUUUAAAAUCUCGAAUUAACAAGUCAAAGGCGGAUGUCGAUCAAAACUCCGGACAGCCGUUGUAUAGACACGGACACGAGACGUGGACCAAUCAGAGCUCGCCAACGAGCUGACACCUCUGCGGCCCGUAAAUUGUGGCAAACUUCUCCGGCAAGUUCACAGCGAUUUGCGGACGUAUUGAAUAAAAACGUGUUACAUAUCAACUGGCAAACUCGUAAGACGUCUGGUUC